rnacentral:rRNA from 1 species
GACGAACGCUGGCGGCGUGCUUAACACAUGCAAGUCGAACGGUAAGGCCCUUCGGGGUACACGAGUGGCGAACGGGUGAGUAACACGUGGGUGAUCUGCCCUGCACUUCGGGAUAAGCCCGGGAAACUGGGUCUAAUACCGGAUAGGACCACUGCCUGCAUGGGUGGUGGUGGAAAGCUUUUGCGGUGUGGGAUGGGCCCGCGGCCUAUCAGCUUGUUGGUGGGGUGAUGGCCUACCAAGGGGACGACGGGUAGCCGGCCUGCGAGGGUGACCGGCCACACUGGGACUGAGAUACGGCCCAGACUCCUACGGGAGGCAGCAGUGGGGAAUAUUGCACAAUGGGCGAAAGCCUGAUGCAGCGACGCCGCGUGAGGGAUGACGGCCUUCGGGUUGUAAACCUCUUUCAGCACCGACGAAGCGCAAGUGACGGUAGGUGCAGAAGAAGGACCGGCCAACUACGUGCCAGCAGCCGCAGUAA